GAGGAAUAUUGGUCAAUGGGCGAGAGCCUGAACCAGCCAUCCCGCGUGCAGGAUGACGGCCCUAUGGGUUGUAAACUGCUUUUCCGCGCCAAGAAACCCCCCGACGUGUCGGGGGCUGACGGUAGCGCGGGAAUAAGCACCGGCUAACUCCGUGCCAGCAGCCGCGGUAAUACGGAGGGUGCAAGCGUUAUCCGGAUUCAUUGGGUUUAAAGGGUGCGCAGGCGGGGAAAUAAGUCAGUGGUGAAAUACUGCCGCUCAACGGUAGGGCUGCCAUUGAUACUGUUUUUCUUGAGUAUGGUUGAGGCAGGUGGAAUGUGUUGUGUAGCGGUGAAAUGCAUAGAUAUGACACAGAACGCCGAUUGCGAAGGCAACUUGCUAAGCCAUCACUGACGCUGAGGCACGAAAGCGUGGGUAGCGGAC
rnacentral:rRNA from 1 species